rnacentral:rRNA from 1 species
CAGAAGAAGCACCGGCUAACUCCGUGCCAGCAGCCGCGGUAAUACGGAGGGUGCGAGCGUUAAUCGGAAUUACUGGGCGUAAAGCGCAUGCAGGUGGUUUGUUAAGUCAGAUGUGAAAGCCCGGGGCUCAACCUCGGAAUAGCAUUUGAAACUAGGCAGACUAGAGUACUGUAGAGGGGGGUAGGAAUUUCAGGUGUAGCGGUGAAAUGCGUAGAGAUCUGAAGGAAUACCGGUGGCGAAGGCGGCCCCCUGGACAGAUACUGACACUCAGAUGCGAAAGCGUGGGGAGCAAACAGGAUUAGAUACCCUGGUAG